GACGAACGCUGGCGGCGUGCUUAACACAUGCAAGUCGAACGGAAAGGCCCUGCUUGCAGGGUACUCGAGUGGCGAACGGGUGAGUAACACGUGGGUGAUCUGCUCUGCACUUCGGGAUAAGCCUGGGAAACUGGGUCUAAUACCGGAUAGGAGCCAUUUUUAGUGUGAUGGUUGGAAAGUUUUUUCGGUGUAGGAUGAGCUCGCGGCCUAUCAGCUUGUUGGUGGGGUAAUGGCCUACCAAGGCGGCGACGGGUAGCUGGCCUGAGAGGGUGGACGGCCACAUUGGGACUGAGAUACGGCCCAGACGCCUACGGGAGGCAGCAGUGGGGAAGAUUGCACAAUGGGCGCAAGCCUGAUGCAGCGACGCCGCGUGGGGGAUGACGGCCUUCGGGUUGUAAAUUCCUUUCGCUAGGGACGAAGCUUUUUGUGACGGUACCUAGAUAAGAAGCACCGGCUAACUACGUG
rnacentral:rRNA from 1 species